CUUUGUCACUGCUCCAUGCUCUGUGAUGCAGGCCUGGAACAUUCUAGAAUACAGCACACAUCUCAGUGCCCUGUUGUCUGAGGCAGUAGUGAGCUUCAGGCCUCAGAUGAUGGACACCUAUCUCCUUUCUGAGGAGAGUGAGUGAGCCACGGGUCAUCAAUUCCAUCAUUUACUUCCUGUGUGUGGCUAGGCUCCUCCUUCUGUCAUCCUUCUUCCAAAACGGAGCCAUUUGCUACCAGUCUUCAGAAUAAAGGAGACAUCAACCAGUCCUUACCAACAGCAGGCCUGGCACGGGUGAUGGUGAGGGACAACAUUUGCUUCCAACCAUUGGUGGUUGUAGACGGGAGCUGCCCCACGCCAUGGGUUCCAGGCCAGCCCUCUCUUCUGAAAGGUAGUGGUUUGACUUGGAAUGAGAUGCUCCUGCACCUGCCAAGUUCAACACACAGCGGAGACAAACACAGCUCUAUCCCCGAGAGGCCCUGCCUAAGGCAAGGCACAGACAGGGCAGUUCAUCUGGCGAACAAGGCAAGUGGGGCCAGGCUCCAGGGCAGCCAGAUGGAGGUGGGGAGAGGGCGGUCAGAGGGUGUGAGGGGCUGCAAAGUGAGGCUCUGCGAGAGCAGACGGUGGGUGGAGUUCCCACUGCUGACCACCUCCCUUUUCCAUCUAGAUACUUUCCCUUUGGCCUUAAAAUCACCCCAUAAGGUUUGAUUGAUGUCUUUUGUUGUUUUAACUGGUCCUCCUCACGGAGGGUUUUCAGAAAGAAAGGCAGUGUUUCCAGGAGCUGGAGCAGCCUCAGAGGGAAGCAAGCUCUCCCACACCCACUCCCUUCCUCAGCAGGCUCCAGGCGGCCCCCUGGGCUACAGCUCAGCCAAAGACCUUCCCCUCCUCCCCUGGCUUCCGCCCUUUCUCUGUCACCAUUUCACCCAAGGCAGAAAAAUCACCACAUUUAAAAGAGAUUCAGCCCAACCCAGUGAUGUCCCUGGAAUGUGGAAGAAAGGGCUGCUAGGAUGUUCAACAGCUCUGACUCUGUGACCUGGAAGAGGGGGCUAGAGCAGACCACAGAUACACCACUUCUGGAUGGUUCC
rnacentral:lncRNA from 1 species